rnacentral:rRNA from 1 species
GACGAACGCUGGCGGCGUGCUUAACACAUGCAAGUCGAACGGAAAGGCCCUGCUUGCAGGGUACUCGAGUGGCGAACGGGUGAGUAACACGUGGGUGAUCUGCCCUGCACUUCGGGAUAAGCCUGGGAAACUGGGUCUAAUACCGGAUAGGAGCCAUUUUUAGUGUGAUGGUUGGAAAGUUUUUUCGGUGUAGGAUGAGCUGGCGGCCUAUCAGCUUGUUGGUGGGGUAAUGGCCUACCAAGGCGGCGACGGGUAGCCGGCCUGAGAGGGUGGACGGCCACAUUGGGACUGAGAGACGGCCCAGACUCCUACGGGAGGCAGCAGUGGGGAAUAUUGCACAAUGGGCGCAAGCCUGAUGCAGCGACGCCGCGUGGGGGAUGACGGCCUUCGGGUUGUAAACUCCUUUCGCUAGGGACGAAGCUUUUUGUGACGGUACCUAGAUAAGAAGCACCGGCUAACUACGUG